UAAUGAUGAGAAAAAGAUCAACUAGCUGAUUACAUUAAAGAAUAACCACAAGAGGCUCAUUAAUAUUGUGUUAAGCAGGUGCAAUCUUAAACAAGGAGGGAAAAUUACCUGAGAAGUAUAUAGCAAGACAGAUAGACAUAUUCGUAAACAGAAUAGAAUAGCAAAUUAGAGCGAUAGACUAGAUUUCACAUUAUUCCUAUGAAAACAGUUGCUUGAUGAUCUCAGUAAGUAUGAAACCCAGAACAACCGAGCAUUGUUCAUUUCUAUAAACCAAGGAGUGUACAGCUCUGUCCAUAUAGUAUCGAGCACUAUAUGACUUAAUGUAUAAACAAUUAUUUUCAUUAUCUUGAAGGAAAGGCGUUUUUUGGUAAAAGUGCUCAUAAAAUUAGUAUGAGACAACAUUUCAGAUGACGAUAAUACGCAUCUAUAAUUCUAAAUGAAAGAAAGGCAACAAGAACGGUGACCAGUGGCUUUAGGCCUAUAUUUUGACUGGCCGUAAUGCAAAGUGAAAAGAAACGAUUAAGUGAAGUAGACAUAACCUGACGCGAAAAAGGUCAAAGCAAUAGCAGGUGAGGUUGUUAGGAAAAACUCAAAGCAGAGAUAAUCUUGCAUGAAAGUGCAAAAAAUUGCAGGAAAUCUGCUUUUUAAGUUCAUCUGCAAGACAUUUGCAAGGACACUAAAUAAGCAUUGUCUGUUGGCUUAUCUCUAAGACCUUGAAAAAUCAGGCUUAUUUUUAGCCUCGAUUAGGUGCUGGACUGGUUGGAAAAUAAAAUGGGUGUUAGCGUCUUUUAGUUACUUGAUUACAUUGUAUGUAGACUCAGGCCUAAUAUAACAGUGUCUCUACCUGCUGAAGGACGGGAAAAUGAGCUGCAAGUCUACUUAAAUUAAACCAAAUGCAAUUGGCUAUCAAAGAUACCUCCCAUAGGAUUAAGGGUUUUCUAUGAGUCCAUUAACAUGUUUUGAGGUUGUGCUCUUCAAGAAAGCUUGCAUUGAAGCCGCUGACUUGAAACGGCCCAUCAAUUAUGCAGUAUUAUUUUUCCAGCGUGACCUACCGCUGGCUGAAACCAAGAACUUCCAUCAUUAUUGUACCCCCUGAACACACGAGCAACAAUGAGGUCGAGAUUCAACAUUUAAAGCAAAGAAGCAAUGCUUUCGUAGAGUAUCAAGAGAGAAAGUUGACACACGGUACUACUGAGUCUUUCAAAUAGGAUUUUCCACGACAGAUGCUAACCACGUCUUUUGAUCAAGACAAGGCGAACUAACGAAACUCUGCGUUGAACGUCACUACAAGAGAUUUUCGAAUCAGACUUCGUAAAGAUCCGAGCACAACCUCAUGAAGGUCAUAUUACGGAAAUUGGUAACUUCAGAUUGGCACAAAAAUCUGGCUGGAUAACAAAUAGAUCCUAAAAAAUCUAUCAAAACCUAAGCAACUUUCAAAUUUUGAAGACAGCUGCACGACAACGGAGAUUGAAAAUACACGCAAUGCAAUCAUGAAUGAUUCAAGAAAGUUCGAGGCUUUUCCAAUUGAAUAAGGGCGUGGCCCUGUCCAUAUAGCAGGACCAACAAUUUUUGGCUAGCUUCGCCACUGUGCAUAAGGUGCAAACCCGCUGGGCUGCCCAUGUUUCUAGAAUGGCAAACUCGCGAAUACCCAAACAGCUAUUCUAUGGAGAGCUCAAGCACGGUGAUAGGAAAGUCUUUGGUCAGCGCAAAUGAUACAAAGACACUCUGAAGGUCCACCUCAAAGACUUCAAGCUUAGCCUCUGACAGACCUGCUUGGCGAAGUCUCAUCAACAGGGAGCCCUUCACUCGCAGGCUAAACGCGUGGAAGCUGCAAAUAAAAAACGCAAAUCACGAAAGGCAAGAGCUGAGAACGCAGCAAACACUCUACCUACCCACUGGUGUCAGACAAUUGGGAGGGGAUUCCAUGCCCGUAUUGGCCUCAUAAGCCACUCACGGACCCACAGGUAACAAUAUUUCUAUUAUUAUUAUUUUUUCUAUUAUAUUCCUGUUGUCAUGGUGUUAUUCGAUCACGAAUUGACGAACAUCAUCGUCAUUAAAGCUUUCCAGUUGUUUCUAGAAUCAAUAGCCUGGUCCACAUCUAAAUACUGUCGACAAUACUUAAGGAAAUGUUGGUUUCGCUCCUUAAGCCAAACGAAACUAUUGCCAAAGUAAUUGCCAAACAUCAAGAUUUUUGCUGGUUAUUAUCAUUUGUUGUGCAUGUAUUGUCUUUUUAUAAAAAAAUUAGCCUUUUCACAUUCC